AUGUCGAUUCCAGCCAAGGCAAGGGUCUUUCAGUGCAAAUUAAAAAUACGAGAAGCUUUCCAGAAUCUUCUAACCGUGGGGAAGCCUGAAGAAUCUAUGUUUGAUUCAGAAGGAAAUGUAUCUUGUGAUAAUGUUCCUAUUAUAGGCAAGAAAGUUUUUCCUGAGGUAGCUAUAGUGGGACGUGAGCUAAUCCAAAAUGAUGUACAUGAUCUUCCAUCAGACAAUUCAGCAGAAGAACAUGUGAAGGAGAAAGACAAUGUUGAUGACCUUGCAUUACUUUCUGAGGACUCCGAGGAUGAUGACUAUUAUCCAGAAGAUCCUCAUUUGCAUAAAGAUAUCAAAGAGAAGAAAGAUGAGUCAGACUUCAUAUCAUACUUAAAAAGGACAAUGGGAAAGAAAGUGAAGCAUGUUAUCAUGCGCCAGAUGAAUGAAUUCACUCUGCAAACUAUAGGACAGAAGAGGCACUAUGGGCCAACAAUUAAUCAGCAUGCGGUCAGGCACAUCCCUUGGGAAGCUUGUGCAGAGCUGAUCUGCAGAAUUUCAUCAUAUCAGAAGAAAGUUUUUCCUGAGGCUGCUCCCGUGGGACGCAAGCCAAUGCAAAAUGAUGUGCAUGAUCUUCCAUCGGACAAUUCAGAAGACGAUGACUUCGACCCCAAUAUAUCCGAAGAAGAUGUGGCUGAUCAUGUGGUAGAACAUGUGAAAGAGAAAGACAAUGUUGAUGACCUUGGAUUACUCUCUGAGGACUCCGAUGAUGAUGACUAUUAUCCAGAAGAUCCUGAUUCAGAUAAAGAUAUCAAAGAGAAGAAAGAUGAGUCAAACUUCACAAUGGACUUUGAAAGGGACAAUGGGAUCGUCAAAAGAGGAUGGGGUGAAGGUUUAGACUCCGACGACUCAAAUUACAUAACUUCUUCUGACAAUAAUUCAGAAAAUGUGAAUGAGAAAGACAAUGUUGAUGACCUUGGAUUACUUUGUGAGGGCUCCGAGGAUGAUGACUAUUACCCAGAAGAUCCUGAUUCAGAUAAAGAUAUCAAAGAGAAGAAAGAUGAGUCGAACUUCCCAUCGGACUCUAAAAGGGACAAUGGGAAGGAAAGUGAAGUAGGUUCUAUCGUGCACUAG
rnacentral:rRNA from 1 species